UCCAUUGUGCGCGCUCCGACGAUCGUCCU
rnacentral:piRNA from 1 species